AGGAAGACUGGGCAAAGCCAGAAAGGAAGGCCUUGGGGAAGGUGGCGACUGGGCCCAGAGCUCCCCACCAACUGAAGAAAAGCAGGAAGGAUCUAAGUCAGACACCAGGAAGACUAUCCCGGCAGGGCCCGUUGUCCAACAGUGAACUGUCUUAUCAAAGAAGAGGGCGGGAAGGUCGUGGAGGACGGUACCCGGUGCUGGGCCCUGAGCCCAGAGAUAAAGGAGACGACGUCUCUGUUCUCGAGCAGACUCAAGGCAAGCUGUGUCCUCAGCCACCGACAGACUCAGCCAGAGUCACCCAGAGGGACCAACAGGAGUUAGAACAGAGAGAGGCGACUUGGGACCAGGCGGUCACAGAAGCCCCAUGUAGGAGAUGGGAUUUGAGCUGGGCCUCAGGAUACUCAGGGAAGGUGACAGUGGGGACAAAGAGGUCAGUGGGGACAUGAGGCCCAGGCAGCAGUGCAUCACCUGGCAGAGGCACAGGUCUGGGCCAAAGUGGGAGACACCUGUUCCUGACCUGUCACGUGCCUCUGCCUGCCAAUCAGCACGUUCCAUUCUCCUGGCUACGUGACUGGUUCCGGAAGGUCAUGUGAUCCGAACUGGGCCAAUGAGAAUCAGCCUUGGGACUUUGGCUGGCAGCGCCCCGCCCCUCGGUCCUUCACCCUCUGCACACAGCCUGGGAGGCGGAGGUGCUGGCCGCGCCCAGGGGAGGGGGCUCGGGCCCCAGCCCUGAGUGGCUAGGGCACUCCCUGCCCCUCGCAGGGCCUCAGCGACCGUGUUGUAGAAUCAGGGGGUCAAGUAGGUGACCUGCAAGGUCCCGUGGCUCCUGCUCUGGGAAGAUGACACCGUGGGCCUCUGUUUUCUGGGGUGUCUGAGCACAUGGUCACGGUGACCGUCUUCAGCCUCUGGGCGCCCCCUGUGCCCGCUCCCCUCCAUCCCGACAAGACCCGGGGACAUGGCCAGGGACAUGGCCGGGGGUUUGCCACUAGCCCGAGGCCCUGCCUGCCCGCCUCUCCCCAGGUGGGAGGCUCAGAGAGGGUGACGGCCUAUCCAUCAGUGGCACAGCGCUGCUCCCGUCCUGGACGGUGGCGGGGCGCUGUCCCCGGCAUCUCCCGCCUGCGCGACACUCGGGAAGUUCAUUAUUUCCCUCGCUGGCUUUUCUGGCGAGACGCAAAUUAAUUUCCCGUCUCCCCCUCUCCCCGGCUCGCAAUCAUUAAAUGCCAGGAAAGUUAAAUAAACGCUGAUUUACGGGGC